AACGAACGCUGGCGGCAGGCUUAACACAUGCAAGUCGAGCGCCCCGCAAGGGGAGCGGCAGACGGGUGAGUAACGCGUGGGAACGUACCUUUUGGUUCGGAACAACUCCGGGAAACUGGAGCUAAUACCGGAUAAGCCCUAACGGGGAAAGAUUUAUCGCCGAAAGAUCGGCCCGCGUCUGAUUAGCUAGUUGGUGAGGUAACGGCUCACCAAGGCGACGAUCAGUAGCUGGUCUGAGAGGAUGAUCAGCCACACUGGGACUGAGACACGGCCCAGACUCCUACGGGAAGCAGCAGUGGGGAAUAUUGGACAAUGGGCGCAAGCCUGAUCCAGCCAUGCCGGGUGAGUGAUGAAGGCCUUAGGGUUGUAAAGCUCUUUUGUACGGGAAGAUAAUGACUGUACCGGAAGAAUAAGCCCCGGCUAACUUCGUG
rnacentral:rRNA from 1 species